rnacentral:tRNA from 1 species
ACUUUUAAAGGAUAAAAGUCUUCCAUUGACCUUAGGAGUCAAAAACUUUGGUGCAAUUCCAAAUAAAAGUA